UUAAAAUGUCUCCAAUGUAUGAACUAAAAUCUCUGUAGAUUGGCACCCACUACAGAAAGCCUCUCAAGACUCCCCGGGGUCUUUCAGCUGCUGGACCAAUACGCCACCACCACAGACUGACCAAAUGAAUUCCACCCUUGCGGCUCUUACCUUCGCUCUCUGGACACCUACCAUCCCCACCGAGGAGCUGAGCAGGAUCCUUCCGGCUUGGAGAUACGGAGGCAAAACUAAUCUUUCUGUCUGAUGGUUACCUGCUGUAGUUGUGGGCUGAUGGCAGUGCAGACAAGAGGCAUGGAGAGCAGGGGAAGUCAGGCACCAGACCUGACAGGCGCGAGACUUUCUUUUAUGCUCUCCGUGACUUGCUGGGCUGUGCUUAGGCAGCAAGAGGAAGAAGCCUGAAUGCAGAAAGGACAAACACCGGAACCGGUGCACUGGAGGAAAGGACUGGAGAAAUACACCAGGACUGACAGCCUGAGGGACAAACACAGAGUCCGGCAGAGUCUGGGAGCUGCAGCUGAAAAGCUUUCAAGGGAGCAGCAGACUCUGGACAAAGACCAGAGGAGAAACAGACUGCAAGAAGUUUCCUGCUCACUUAGGUGGUGAGCUUCCACUAUGGGUUGUGUUUCCUCAAGGCGUGGUGCUACACGUCUUCUAGCAUGACGAGGACUUGAUCUAAAGCCCUGUAACAGAAAAAGCAAUCAUCGUGUUUGACAUCUCCCAGAAUGGAGCUGUGUAACAACAGAAAAAUCAUACAGGAUCUUAACAACAACUUGAGAAACACAGCGUGGAAGCGCUCUGACGGAAGCUCAGCAGACCUCCCCUCCCUGGGUUCCCUUUCAAGCCACUGAAGUCAGCAGGUCAGAGGAAUGGCACCUAUUUCUCCCCACUGGCCAUAAAGAGGGCCCAAGCCGAUUACUUCACUUGUAGACAUCUAUAC